rnacentral:misc_RNA from 1 species
GCCCACUCUCAUUGUGUCGUCUUCUUCCUUUCUCCCUUAUCCUCUCCAUACGGGAAUAGUCUAGGUAUCACAAUCUAAGGCGCUCUUCGUCCUUCACCAAGGAAUCGAACGGCUCAAAUCAAGUUUCCGUUGAGAAUUGGUACAUUUCAGCUGGCCGACCUAUUCGAAUUUGAAUUUUGAAUUUUGAAUUUUAUCCCCUUUCCUCAUCCGAUUUCCCCCCAUUUUUAACCUAGUUCUUACCCUAUAAAUACCCUUUUUCUUCAU